rnacentral:lncRNA from 1 species
CGCCGCUCACCCCGCGGCCGCAACUUCCCGCCUUCUCAGAGAACUCUUAAAACUAAACAGUAAGAAAACAGUCCAACUAAAAAGUGGAAAAGACCUGACCAGACAUGCACCAGCAAUGACACAGCGUUGACUGUUGGGCACAGGAGAAGAGGCUUGACACCACCAGCCACCAGGAAAUGCAGAUUCAGCCACCACGCAGGACACGAGGCACCUGCACCACAGCCGCAGUGCAAGAGAAUGCUGGUGGUGCCCCAAGCUGCCAGGGUGUGGACCUGCUGGAAAUGGAAGACGGCAUGGUGGUUUCCUAUAAAGUUCAAUGUACACAGCCACAUGACCCAGCAAUCCCACUGUUGGGUAUUUAGAGAAUGAAUAACUU